CCUACGGGAGGCAGCAGUGAGGAAUAUUGGUCAAUGGGCGGAAGCCUGAACCAGCCAAGUAGCGUGCAGGAUGACGGCCCUACGGGUUGUAAACUGCUUUUAUACGGGAAUAAAGCGCCUUACGUGUAGGGCUUUGCAUGUACCGUAUGAAUAAGGACCGGCUAAUUCGGUGCCAGCAGCCGCGGAAAUACGGAGGGACCGGGCGUUAUCCGGCUUUCUGGGGUUGAAAGGGUGCGCAGGCGGUCUGUUACGUCAGCGGUCAAAUCCCGGGGCUCAACCCCGGCCCGCCGUUGAAACUGGCAGUCUCGAGUUGGAGAGAAGUAUGCGGAAUGCGCGGUGUAGCGGUGAAAUGCAUAGAUAUCGCGCAGAACUCCGAUGGCGAAGGCAGCAUGCCGGCUCCACACUGACGCUGAGGCACGAAAGCGUGGGUAUCGAACAGGAUUAGAUACCCUGGUAGUC
rnacentral:rRNA from 1 species